rnacentral:rRNA from 1 species
AGAGCGAACGCUGGCGGCAGGCUUAACACAUGCAAGUCGAGCGGAUGUAGCAAUACAUCAGCGGCAGACGGGAUAGUAACACGUGGGAACGCGCCCUUUGGUUCGGAAUAACUCAGGGAAACUUGAGCUAAUACCGGAUAAGCCCUUACGGGGAAAGAUUUAUCGCCAAAGGAACGGCCCGCGUCCGAUUAGCUAGUUGGUGAGGUAAUGGCUCACCAAGGCGACGAUCGGUAGCUGGUCUGAGAGGAUGACCAGCAUCACUGGGACUGAGACACGGCCCAGACUCCUACGGGAGGCAGCAGUGGGGAAUAUUGGACAAUGGGCGCAAGCCUGAUCCAGCCAUGCCGCGUGGAUGAUGAAGGCCCUAGGGUUGUAAAGUCCUUUUAACGGGGAAGAUAAUGACGGUACCCGUAGAAUAAGCCCGGCUAACUUCGUGUCAGCAGCCGC